rnacentral:rRNA from 1 species
GGAUUUCUGUCGUGGUCAUCCGGCUCCGCCUGUAUAGGUGUGCGCCUGGUUUGCCCUCGGCUUUCUUCCGGUAGCCUACCGCGCUUCACUGCGUGCGUGGGUGUUUUCCGGAACUUUUACUUUGAGAAAAAUAGAGUGUUUCAAGCAGGCUUGUCGCCCUGAAUACUUCAGCAUGGAAUAAUAAGAUAGGACCUUGGUUCUAUUUUGUUGGUUUCUAGGACCAAGGUAAUGGUUAAUAGGGACAGUUGGGGGCAUUCGUAUUUAACUGUCAGAGGUGAAAUUCUUAGAUUUGUUAAAGACGAACUACUGCGAAAGCAUUUGCCAAGGAUGUUUUCAUUAAUCAAGAACGACAGUAGGGGGUUUGAAGACGAUUAGAUACCGUCGUAAUCUCUGCCUUAAACUAUGCCGACUAGAGAUAGGGAAUCCAUUAGCCCAAUCUUCCCUGCACCUCAUGAGAAAUCAAAGUCUCUGGGUUCUGGGGGGAGUAUGGUCGCAAGGCUGAAACUUAAAG